GGUUAUAAUGAACUGCAGCCUGGACUAGCUGUUGGUCAAGGAACAGAACCUCUGGCACCAGCAGUGAGGAACUUCACGCUGAAUUUCACUAUAACCAACCUCCAGUUCACUGCAGAUCUGGCGACGCCAAAUUCUAAAAGAUUCAAGUCAACAGAAAAAGUCAUGUACCAUUAUGUUGAUCCUUUACUGCAAAAAAGCAGCAUUGGCCCCGCUUAUCUUGG